rnacentral:lncRNA from 1 species
AAAACAUCUGCUGCCGCAGAAACAAUAUUAUAGAAAAUGGAUGACAAGAAUUCAAUCAUUUAUACAAGGCCCCAAAUACAAUAAUAAACCAAAGAAGAACAGCAACCUGGGUGGGAAGACAGGUUCACAUACAAGUUAACCAUGCCUCUGCUGCUAUAUAGCAGUAGACAUCACUGCCUAAUGGUGCCUUUUGGCUGAGCAAAUUUCCUGCUCCGUGGAGAUCUCAUUCAGAGCUGCUGAUAUAUUUCUCCCUCCCAACUAAAGUGUGAUGCUGCAGAAACCAAGGCAUAGAGUGGAUGGUAAGAAAAAAUAUACUGUAUCCUAGACCCUGAAUACAAUAAACAAAAGAGAAAAGCAUCCUAGGUGAAUGGGAGCAGCAGCAUGAUUAAUCAAAAGGCCUUCAAGAUGAUUUGUAAGAAGAAAAUGUGUUUGAUAUUAAAGUUGGAGAACAUAAAAUCUAAAUUUUAUAUUAAGAAAUAUUGAGUUCAAACUUCACAGUGCAAUUACGUGUAUAAGCCGGAAGAGUCUCCAAUAAACCUAAGCACAGUAUCUUACCUGGCAUAACAUUUUGCAGUUGCUUCAGUGACAUACAAUACAUCACAGUUACCUACAUACUUAUAUCUAGUAUCAAAUACAAUAUAGACCUCUCUGCUGAGAAUUCUCUAUUUAGUUCUGCAUCCCUCUUUUUAGUCUCAUUGUUUGGUGUUUUGGUGGCUAGCUUCUUGAUUUCAUUUUCAUUUUGGAUAUCAGCCCUCUCUGGGGUUGAUGAAGACCUUUUCCAAUUCUGUGUGCUCAGAAUUUUAUCUUCCUGACCUCAACAUAAAACCAGAACAACUAGAAGAAAUGAUCCUGAGUAAAGUAAUUCAGUCACAAAAAGACAAAUGAGUAUACUAAGGCAGCUGUAGAUCAUCGAUAAGCAUGUCAUAUGAAAUUAAACAUCACAUCUGCAGGUACACAUUCUGUGUUGUUGAAGGUGUGGUUCAGAUUAUAGGCCUGAGAAGUGAAGUUAAUCACUGUUUAAUGUGUGAAAUAUGUAAGAAACACACACAGAUAUUUUGGACUUAAUGUAUACAUAAAAUAUAUAAAAUAUUAUUUCUGAAUAUUUCAUUAUGAUGUUUUAAUUAUAAAACGUUUUAAAGAGAUGGGCACUCUAGAAUCUUAUGUACCGAGCAGCAUAUAGAUAAAAUGUAUUAAAUAGGGGGUAUGUGUGAAAAAGUAAAUAGCAGAGAAUGGAUUAUUCAUUAAAACUGUGUGAAUAUAUGUCACUGUUAUGGGUUUAAUAAAGAAGCUAACUUGCUUGGAUGUAGCCAUGUUGCGUUAGUUUGAGAACUAAACUG